CGGGGCGUAGCUCAGGUGGUAGAGCGCCGGUUUCGGGAACCGGAGGUCGCAGGUUCAAGUCCUGUCGCCCCGA
rnacentral:tRNA from 1 species